rnacentral:lncRNA from 1 species
UAUUGAAGAAUCAACAAUAUUUUACUAUGUGCAUCAGUUCAGGUGGCUAAUCCUCAUUUUCAGAGAGAAAAAGUAGCAAGUACUUUAUUUAGCGGAAACCCUUUAUUUUUUGUUGAGAUUAAUUAAUCAUUUCCUGCAGAAAAGACAAACACAAAUGGCAUCCAAUGGUGUUUUGUAACACCAGGCGUCUUUGACAUGGCCGCCCUCGAUGAGAGCCGCCUUCGUCCAGCAAAGCCCCUUGCACCAAGCGUCGAAACAAAAUGGCUGCCUAUAAGCUCCUUUCAUGCAAUUCUCUGCACGAAAAUAAACAAUCACAGACAUCCACGCGUUAUUAUUCAGUCUACACGAGCAUAUCCAUGAAGCUAACAAAAACAUAAAAACAACCUUUUCUGCAUCAAGUUAGAGGGUGGGAGAGAGAGGGGGGACGGACCGGCCAUGGCAACAGGAUUUGGAUGUAGCACAAGUACUAGGAGGAGGAAGCGGAGAACAACAAGUCGGGCAUCCAUGGAUGGAGUGAUAAGUUUCUUUAUUGCCGAACCUCAAGGGAAUAUAAACACCGAUAGCACGGUGUGAUGUUGUGUCCAUA